rnacentral:rRNA from 1 species
AGAGUUUGAUCAUGGCUCAGGACGAACGCUGGCGGCGUGCUUAACACAUGCAAGUCGAACGAUGAACUCCAGCUUGCUGGGGGGAUUAGUGGCGAACGGGUGAGUAACACGUGAGUAACCUGCCCUGGACUCUGGGAUAACCCCGAGAAAUCGGAGCUAAUACCGGAUAGGACCUUUCCCUGCAUGGGGUUUGGUGGAAAGUUUUUCGGUUUGGGAUGGACUCGCGGCCUAUCAGCUUGUUGGUGAGGUAAUGGCUCACCAAGGCGUCGACGGGUAGCCGGCCUGAGAGGGUGACCGGCCACACUGGGACUGAGACACGGCCCAGACUCCUACGGGAGGCAGCAGUGGGGAAUAUUGCACAAUGGGCGCAAGCCUGAUGCAGCAACGCCGCGUGCGGGAUGACGGCCUUCGGGUUGUAAACCGCUUUUAGUAAGGAAGAAGGGGAGCUUGCUCCUUGACGGUACUUGCAGAAAAAGGACCGGCUAACUACGUGCCAGCAGCCGCGGUAAUACGUAGGGUCCGAGCGUUGUCCGGAAUUAUUGGGCGUAAAGAGCUCGUAGGCGGUUUGUCGCGUCUGCUGUGAAAUCCCGAGGCUCAACCUCGGGCCUGCAGUGGGUACGGGCAGACUUGAGUGGUGUAGGGGAGACUGGAAUUCCUGGUGUAGCGGUGGAAUGCGCAGAUAUCAGGAGGAACACCGAUGGCGAAGGCAGGUCUCUGGGCACUUACUGACGCUGAGGAGCGAAAGCGUGGGGAGCGAACAGGAUUAGAUACCCUGGUAGUCCACGCCGUAAACGUUGGGCGCUAGAUGUGGGGACCUUUCCACGGUUUCCGUGUCGUAGCUAACGCAUUAAGCGCCCCGCCUGGGGAGUACGGCCGCAAGGCUAAAACUCAAAGGAAUUGACGG